GCAUAUUAUAUGACUAAAACAUGAUACAAAAACUAACAGUUUGAGAGAGACUAAAACUCAAUGAAGCUACCAACAGUAAAAUUUGUUUCUUUUAAACACUGAAGGAAUUGUAAUGUCGUGUUUAUCUUUCAGGAGGAGCCCACCUGUCUCUGUGCGAAGUAAAUAUGCUUUUGGCAUCAUCUCUCUAUUCCCCAGCCUCAGAGAUCCAUACUCAGACAAUGGAUAUGUAAGUUUGUAAAUGAAAAGCAUGGAGUAUUAAUAUGGUCUGAACCUACUCUACAAUUUAAUGUUUUUAAUAUUACAUGAACACUUCUAUGAGCCACAGAGUGGAUCUGGCUACUUGGCCUGGAGGAUAAAGACUGUUCAGCGCAACACUGCAGCUCAGUCCCAGAGGUCCUCCAUCUGCACACCCUAUCAAGAUAGUCCAAAGAGAAAGAGGGAGGUUCCCUGCACUGAUAAGCAACUGCUUGGCGAGCACUGUCAUGAAGCAAUAUCCUUUUUGAAACAUUCAACUGAUGAAUCGGCAAUCAAAGAGAAGAUGAGGGCCACUUUUCAGUACCGCCAAACACUGGUUCAAGAUCAGCAAUGCUCUUCGACAGUUUUGGAUGUCUUCCCACGAUUCCUCGACAUCACUGGCUUGAUUGACCAAGACUUCACCAUGAUGUUUGGAGAGGAAGUGUCGGGCAGAUUUUUGGCAAAAUGGCCAAUUUUUAUCAACCCGAGGAUCCUGACAGACUGCAAAAAACUGACUUCUAAUUAGCACAUUGAAGACCUCUUGUCUGUGCAGCACAACUCAGGUGGGCUGGGACAGUGACCUGUCAAGCAUUCUACUGUUGGUUCACUUGCUUCCCCCUACCUCCAAAGGCCACAAGAAGGGUGCUAAAAUCAGCGCAUGUCAAGCUGAGGACCAUGUUGUGAGAUAUUUGCAGAUUGGAGCCAGUGUUGAAACCUUCCUUGCUUGUGUGGAGCCGGGACAGCCCUUCCUCCUGUGUGUUGGUGAAAAGAAGAACAGCAUCCAAAGAUACUAUGUCGUCACUGAGCACAAGGCCAUCCCUUGCAAGGCACAGACAUCCUUGGCAGCUUUCGAUGAGCUCUUCAAAGCACACUUCAUCUUCAGUGUCAACUACCAUGAAUCCCUCUUCAACUUCUGUACGUUCAUCCAAACCACAGUUUUUAACAUUGAUGUGGGAAGUGCCAAGGAAAGUCCCAGAGUCAAGGAGCUAAGAGCGAGGUUUUUGCGCGACGCUUGAGGUGACAAAUAUUCUUGGAUGCCAAUAUGUUUCUUCGUUAUGUCUGUAAGGCACACCACAAAAGUUCUGCAUUGCUUUGUCAGCAUUUAAGACUCCACCACGGUCUAUAUCCUGGAAAGACUACAUUUGAAAUGUGGACAGCCGGGAUGUUGUUUAUCAUUUUGCACCUAUUCAGGUUUCAAGAAGCAUCUUGUUCAGUUCCAUAGAGAUGUUGAUUUGACUAAUACUGCUGACGGUUUGGACACUUAGAAUGAAGUUGGUGAGCCCUCAACUUCACAGGCAGUCAGUAGAGUCUCCAAUAACUACUGAGCUCUCUGUUGACGAUAAUCUUGUGUGGACCAAACGCAAUUCAGUCAUGGUGUCUUGUGAGAAAUGCUCCUCUUAUUUUUGGUGAUCUAUUGGAAAGAAAUAACUGUUGCUGGAAUUUGCUCCUCCUCUUGAUUCAUAUUGUGAAUAUUGUGUUUUCACCUAUUGUAACUAACGGUAUGACAUAUUAUUUGAAGUACCUGAUUAAGGACCACCACAAGCUAUUUAAGUCUUUUUUUUUACAGAAAUGCUUGAUUCUAAAGCAUCAUUUUAUGCUACAUUACCCACGUUGUAUUAGAAAAAUAGGUCCACUCCUUCACGUAAGGUGCAUGAGGUUUGAGGCCAAACAUAAUUUUUUUAAAAGGUUCACAAAAGCAUUGGUGAAACAACACCAAAGACAGUUAGCUUACCACUGGGAGAAUUUUGAUUUUCAGAGAUUUGAGUUUGGUCCAGUGAAAAAAAUUAUUGAUAGCUUGGAAGGAGGUGAUGUUUUAAGUUCUGUUUUUAAUGUAAAUGCAUACUGUGAAGUGUCAAACACUAAUUGGGUGAAGAACUAUGGAACAGAAUAUCAGAUUGGUAUGUUUGUUUGUACUGGAACAAAUAAUGAAGUUCCUAUUUUCAGGAAGGUCACCAACAUCAUUAUACAUGAUGAGCAAGCUUUUAUUUUGACUUGCAGAGUGGAAACUCUUUAUUUUGAUGGUCAUUUCAAUGCAUACUGUAUCAAUGAGAGAGCAGAUUCAUUUUCUGUUUUUCCAAUUAAGGAGUUGACUUAUUACAGACCCUAUGACAAACAGUUUUCUAAUGAGAUGUGUGAAAAAACGUACUUUGUGCCACAUUGUCAUAUUGUGUGACCUGUGUUGUGGUUAUUGCAAAGCCAAUGCUGUUUUUAAUGUGGUGUGCUUGUUUGAAAUACAGGUUGAUU